rnacentral:lncRNA from 1 species
AUGGAGAAUGGCUCUCCUUGGAGAGGAAGGAGAGAGAACGGUACAUCUAAAGGAUGCAAUCUAUCAUCCUAAACAUUGAAUGCCUUCCCCCCGCCCUGGAAAGUUUCCAAGCUCAAGUAAUAUUCUAAAUAGAGGAGAAAGUUUAACAAAUACCAAAUAUUGGCAGAAGAAGCGUAAAAGGAAGCAGAGAAAAGAUCAAAUGAUGUGAACUAUAAAAGCUCUCAGAUCUUAUGAAAAUGGAACUGAAAAUCCUAAUGAAAACAGGAGUUCAGAAGUAUUCUUUGGGCCAAGACAAAACCAGCCUGGAUUCUGUCAUCCUUUUGGUGAAUGAUUUAUUCCAAGGAUCCUCUCCUGCAAGCGCGGACACACUGCAGCCCUCCCUGGACCACCUGCAAGACUCUCAACCAC